AGGCGUGAAGCAGUGGGCUGGGUCGGUAUCAGUCGAUUACAGAGCCGGACCGUGGGUUGUGCGGAUACCAUAAGCAGAAUAGGCGGCGGAAAUGCUGCUGAAAGAAAACGCAAAAA
ncrna:unclassified sequences drum RNA